UUCUGAUGAUAACUGGAAAGUUCCAUCACUCCCUUCAGGAGUUGGGUCUGCCAGAGGGUCUGAAGCUUGUCCAGGACAGCACCUGGAAACAGGAGGUUCUUCGUGCUGGAUGGUGACGUAACCAAUCCUCACAUGGCCUGAUCUCCAGACACUUGUGCCAGUGUCACUGUGACCCAGAAGAAGUCACCAGUGAACAGAGCCACACCUAAUAGAUGCCCUGCAGGUGUUCCAUGGACCUGCCUUGCUAGCAAUCCCCAGGUUCAUUGCAUUCCCAGGUGGCCUACACUGUAUUUGGUGGAGAAAUGACCAUAAAAAGCCUGCUCUGAUUUGGUCAUUCAGAGAUGGCCACUGGGGAGCCACAAUGGCCUUAUGGAGCCUGGACUGUGAGCCAAGACUGGGCAUGAAUCACACUGCAUGUCUGGCAGAGAGAGAUGGUAUCCAUGGUCAUGGAGCAAAACCAAGACUACAGUCUCUGCUCCAUGCAGCAGUCUAUAAAGCCCUGCUUGAGAUUUGGUCCUUACCCUAGCAUACCUGGUGCCACAGGACUGCCAGACAGAUGCUUUCUGAUGCUUCUGGCCAGUGCUCUUUAGACCACGGGGACAGUAUCUCCUCUCAGCCUUGAGAAGCUUGACAAUAGGUAGACAGUGAGUAGGGGGCACUGAGGUUAAAACCCAGACUUCUGGCGUGGGUCUACAAAGAACUGUGCACUGAGCCAUUGGGAAUUCAGGGACCUCAGGACCUGGAGAACAAAGGACACAGCCUUGUACAGCUCCAGGAGCCAGCCAAGGGUAGACCUGGGAGCUUCCCAUGCUGGCAGAGUCUGCUCCCCCGUCCUUGCGGUAGGAACACCUCCAAUUUAUUACUGAGGUGGCUGUGAUCAACCUUACUUCCCUGCUGUGCUGGCUCUGCAACCUCACUCAUGGCCACUUAGCACCAUAGGAUCCAAGUAGAGUUUUAGUUGUGUGCUCAUUGUUAAGGAUAAACGACCCUUAGGCCUGGGGUGACCCUCAAGCUCCUUGUCAAUUUUUCUACCCUCAACAGCAGAUCAGGUACAGCUACAGAUGCAGGGUCAAGGCUACUGUUGCAUGGAAUGUUUAAGGCUCAGGAGUAGCCUCCCACUGACAGCCACAUGUCAACCUGAUGACAAUAUCUGAUCUUCAAUGAGUGCCCCAGAUUUAUUGGGAGAGGCAUCCUUGGUCAUUUACUCACCUAUCUUACCUGAUAUCCUAGGGUUCCCUAAGACAGGAAGAAUAGCUAGGCCAAGACCACACAGAGGCCUAUCCCAUAGAUAGAGGGAACUCCCAGUCAAG
rnacentral:lncRNA from 1 species